AAAAAAAAAAAAAGAUCUCGCUGACCUAGCUGCGCUCACUCUCAUAUCUCACCUCUCCUCAACGCGUCUUCCUGCCUCCACCGUCACUCUCACCACACCUCCGUCGUCGCUGCGCUCCUUCCCACAGGCCACACCUCCGUCGUCGCCCUCACCAGCGCCUCCCUCAUCCUCCCACGACGCCGCUUACACCGCCUCUCUCACCACGACUCCCUCAGCCUUGACCAAAAACCGCCGCCGCCACCAAGAUAAGGAUCCAACGCCUCUCUCAUCAGCCACCCACGACCCCGCCACCACCCUCGCCACCGCCGCGGCUGCUUCUGUGACUUCCACCGUCGGCAGCUGGUCAACAGAACUGUACGUGCAGGUAUUUAUUUGAACAUAGCUGGCAUAAAUCGGGAACAUUGAUAUGUUUGGUUCUCAGCCGAUCACAAGUAGGAAGAGAGGAGGAACAAAGCUGCCAAAAGAAAGUCUUUAGCUUUGGAGGGAGUUUGAAUUUCCAGAAUCUGGUCCAAAUUGGGACUUGGACAGAACUGAAAUCACCUGCAAGAGUAUUCUAGCAACUACGCACAGUGUUGGAUAAGGCCAGCAACUUUAGUGAUUCCAGAUUGAAUGGGUGCAAGGGGCUGAAUGAAUGAUGGAAAUUUCUCUAUACAGGUCAGUUUAGUUGAAAUGCUUUUCUAAUUAGACUAAUGUAGGAGAUCUGGCCAAAGUGGUUACAGAUACGCAGUUAUCUAUUUAUUUGUGCAUAUUUUUUGAAAUGUAGGAGAUCUCCUCGGUCCUCUCCUAGUAACCAGGACAGAGCUGGACCAUCUGAUUUUCAGUAUUUCUCUGAAUCCUUAAGUAGUUUAGAUGAUGAUCUUGAAAGAGUGAAAACUGGAUUUAGAAAAAAGAAGAAAUGGCAUGCUUCAGAUGAUGAUUUUUCCUCACGUUCAGCUUAGGCCUGCAGACAGUGUAGAGAAGGCUUCUAAAACUGCUGAGAUAAACCCGAGGAAAAUCAAGAUGAGGAGACUAGAAAAGUAAAUCCAAGAGAACUCAACUCAUAUUUGAAG